rnacentral:tRNA from 1 species
GCCCCCGUCGUCUAGUGGACUAGGACACAGCCCUUUCAAGGCUGCGACACGGGUUCGAAUCCCGUCGGGGGCA